UGUUACAGUUAAUGUAUCUGACCGGAGCAUUCAGAGCUAGAUACGGCGGUGUUGGGCCGUUCCAGGAAGCAACAGGUCUUCAAUCGCUUCAUCUCGACGGUGGCAGUUUCGGAAACUAACGAUGCUAACUCCCGGGAAACGCCGGUGGUUUCAAGUCGUUGUUUGAGCUUCCACCUACACAAGCAAUGGAGCUUCUCCAUUUAGUAUCAUUAUAUUUUCAAGCUCUGGAUGUUACCAGUUACCGGAAUCGGUUGAGAUAUCUCUCCACAGUCACUUCACUCUUACGGGACAUUGACUUUUCCUUCUAACUCAGCCCUCUUGGAGCGAACAGCUUGCUUCUGUGAUUGCUGAUGAGCAGCAGUAAAGCGGAAACGUCACCGGUGAGACUACUACAAGAUUGGUACCUUCUAACUCGAACUCUAAUCUGGAAAGAGUCAGAACCGAGCCUGCUGAGACAGAUUCAUCUCGGCUUUUGGUUUGUGAUCAUAGCACGUGAACUAGCCAGAACAAUCGGUCUCGCAAGAGAAAAGAACUCGACGAGAAGGCUAAAAGCACAGCAAAGAAGAAAAACUAAAGCUAUGAAGAAAACGAGAAGCUUUCAUAUGUAAAUGUUAGUGCUGGCCGUUGUAAAGCAAUAUAUAGCCAUAUCUUAGCAGAAGAGCAAGAAGGAAGAAGAUUAGUGCACAGAUGAAGCUGCUACAGGAACUGGUCCCAACUGGUCCCAGGCUGUGAGAUAAGGUUCAUGUUGGAAGAGCGACCCUUGGACGUAUCAUGAAUGUUCUUGGAGAACCCAUUGACGAGAGACGCGAAAUGAAAACGACCACUACUUACCUAUUCGCAGAGAUGCCCCGGCUUUGAUUGAUCUAGCCACCAGACAAGACUCAAGACUCCUUGCCACUGGUAUUAAGGAUCGGCUAGCUAAUCCAAAAUUAUCAUUACUGGUUGUUAGAUUGAUUCAAGUGGCGAUGUAUCAAUUGGAUUACACGUUCGAUAUCAGAGCAGCAGACACGCAUGAAAAGAUAAUUUGUGUGUGGCGUUAAUCCAGAUGCGUCUAUUAGAGCUUGAAAAUUCAUCUAAUCUGAAGUAUACUAAGGAUUAUCUAAGGAGUCUAAUGGUAUUGCUACGAACGUUAGCAAGAAUGUGAAACAUUGCUGUCUCGGGUUUACUGAACUACGAGAACAAGGAAGAUCAUGACUGCUGCCAUUCCUGUGAGGAUGUUGAUGACACAUUUAGAAACAAAGGUUGGGGUGUUACAAAUCCAGAUUUGAUUGACCAGAGGGAUUGAGGUGACAAACGUGGCCAUAGCGUCGUUGGAAAUGCGGGAGUGAAGAUAGCCACAUUGCAGCUGGUGUACAUGGAAAAUUGCAAUUACCUUACUGUUGAUUUCUUCAAGAAGCUUCUCCGGCUCCGAGAGUGCCCAUUGUUUUUCUCGGUUGUGGUCAGUGGCUGAGGCACAUAAGAGACUUCUAGGUUAUUCAAUUUUUCUGAGAUGUUCUCCCUGGGGAGUGGGAAGACAUCAUGCCGUAUCAUUUUAUUACAACAACACAGUUUGUUCUGCUGUCUCUUUGUUUGUAUUCGCUUUUGACCAUUACCUUAUGUGCAUGCGCUCAUACAUAUCAACGAUAUUUUUUAGUUAUGUAGA